CCAGACUCCUACGGGAGGCAGCAGUGGGGAAUAUUGGGCAAUGGGCGCAAGCCUGACCCAGCAACGCCGCGUGAAGGAAGAAGGCUUUCGGGUUGUAAACUUCUUUUGACAGGGAAGAGUAGAAGACGGUACCUGUUUAGAAAGCUCCGGCUAACUACGUGCCAGCAGCCGCGGUAAUACGUAGGGAGCAAGCGUUGUCCGGAAUUACUGGGCGUAAAGGGCGCGUAGGUGGGCGCUUAAGUCAGGUGUGAAAACUCCGGGCUCAACCUGGAGACUGCCCUUGAAACUGGGUGUCUUGAGGGCAGGAGAGGAAAGUGGAAUUCCUAGUGUAGCGGUGAAAUGCGUAGAUAUUAGGAGGAACACCAGUGGCGAAGGCGGCUUUCUGGACUGUACCUGACGCUGAGGCGCGAAAGCGUGGGUAGCGAACAGGAUUAGAUACCCUUGUA
rnacentral:rRNA from 1 species